rnacentral:tRNA from 1 species
AUCCUAGUAGCUUAAAUAAAGCGGCGCAUUAACGUGAUGUGAACACGAUUCGGGUUCGAGUCCCGACUAGGCUU